rnacentral:lncRNA from 1 species
GGAACCCGAACCCGGAUCCGGGCGAGUAGCCGACUUCUUCUCCCCGCCUAGGGAUACCCACAGAGCGGCCGGGAGGGAACGCUGCUCCUGGAGUGGUGGGCAGCUGUUGGGAGCUGCUCAGGCUGGAGCCACGGGAUUUUAAAGGACCUGUCUCUGUCAUUUUUACUUUUAGGAUUUUGGCCAAAUUGGGCGAGGGUACAAUAUUACCACUUACCCCUUCUCACCGAGGAAGAGCGGGAGAAAGGGUAUGGCACAGUCACAAGGCUGGGUGCGAAGAUGCUUCAAGGCCUUUUGCAAAGGCUUCUUUGUGGCGGUGCCUGUGGCAGUCACUUUCUUGGAUCGGGUGGUCUGUGUGGCUCGAGUGGAGGGAUCGUCGAUGCAG